rnacentral:rRNA from 1 species
GACGAACGCUGGCGGCGUGCCUAAUACAUGCAAGUCGAACGCUGAAGAGAGGAGCUUGCUCUUCUUGGAUGAGUUGCGAACGGGUGAGUAACGCGUAGGUAGCCUGCCUUGUAGCGGGGGAUAACUAUUGGAAACGAUAGCUAAUACCGCAUAACAAUGGAUGACACAUGUCAUUUAUUUGAAAGGGGCAAUUGCUCCACUACAAGAUGGACCUGCGUUGUAUUAGCUAGUAGGUGAGGUAAUGGCUCACCUAGGCGACGAUACAUAGCCGACCUGAGAGGGUGAUCGGCCACACUGGGACCGAGACACGGCCCAGGCUCCUACGGGAGGCAGCAGUAGGGAAUCUUCGGCAAUGGGGGCGACCCUGACCGCGCAACGCCGCGUGAGUGAAGAAGGGUGUCGGAUCGUAAAGCUCUGUUGUAAGUCAAGAACGGGUGUGAGAGUGGAAAGUUCACACUGUGACGGUAGCUUACCAGAAAGGGACGGCUAACUACGUG